AUUGAACGCUGGCGGCAUGCCUUACACAUGCAAGUCGAACGGUAACGCGGGGCAACCUGGCGACGAGUGGCGAACGGGUGAGUAAUGCAUCGGAACGUGCCCAGUAGUGGGGGAUAGCUCGGCGAAAGCCGGAUUAAUACCGCAUACGACCUACGGGUGAAAGCGGGGGACCGUAAGGCCUCGCGCUGUUGGAGCGGCCGAUGUCAGAUUAGGUUGUUGGUGAGGUAAAGGCUCACCAAGCCAACGAUCUGUAGCUGGUCUGAGAGGACGACCAGCCACACUAGGACUGAGACACGGCCCAGACUCCUACGGGAGGCAGCAGUGGGGAAUUUUGGACAAUGGGGGCAACCCUGAUCCAGCCAUGCCGCGUGCGGGAAGAAGGCCUUCGGGUUGUAAACCGCUUUUGUCAGGGAAGAAAAGCUUCGGGCUAAUACCCCGAGGUAAUGACGGUACCUGAAGAAUAAGCACCGGCUAACUACGUGCCAGCCGCCGCCGUAA
rnacentral:rRNA from 1 species